AUUGAACGCUGGCGGCAGGCCUAACACAUGCAAGUCGAGCGAGGGGCGGACGGGUGAGUAAUGUCUGGGAAACUGCCCGAUGGAGGGGGAUAACUACUGGAAACGGUAGCUAAUAACGAAUAGCAGCGGAAGUGCCCAGAUGGGAUGGGCGAGUAGGUGGGGUAAAGGCUCACCUAGGAGACGAUCCCUAGCUGGUCUGAGAGGAUGCCCAGCCAAGCUGGGAUAGAGACACGGGCCAUAAUCCUACGGGAGGCAGCAGGGGGGACGAUUGGAGAAGGGGCGCAAGCCUGAUGCAGCCAUGCCGCUGGUAUGAAGCAGUCCUUCGGGUUGUACAGUACGUUCAGCGAGGAGGCGUGACUCGCAGAAGAAGCACCGGCUAACUCCGUGCCAGCAGCCGCGGUAAUUC
rnacentral:rRNA from 1 species